UUGUAACUCUGUUUGGUAUGAAGUCCAAAAGACAAAUCUAGCAAAGACAGUAAUACUUAUAGCAACCCAUUAAGAGAUACGCAAUAUAAAAACAUAAAAAUUAACACAACAUAGUGUCAAAAUGUGGGGGGCGGGGUGUGGUGGAGUUAUAGUAAAGAGGGUUUUUUAGCUUCUUGAGAGGGGCCAUGCAGGCCCCGCUCCCGCCCUUGGCUCGCCUGGCCCGAACUGGAAGCGGGGCCGCACGGCCUGGGCCUGACGCCGGGGGUGAGCACCGGGGCCCGGUCGGACAUGGAUAAGAAGCACAAGAAGCACAAGUCGGACAAACACCUCUACCAGGAGUAUGUAGAGAAGCCCUUGAAGCUGGUCCUCAAAGUAGGAGGGAACGAAGUCACCGAACUCUCCACGGGCAGCUCGGGGCACAACUCCAGCCUCUUCAAAGACAAAAAACGAUCAUGACAAACACAAGGACAGAAAGCGGAAAAAAAGAAAGGAGACAAGCAGGUUCCAGGGGAAGAAAAGUGGAGAAAACAGAUAAGAGUUAAGGAGGAUAAAAAGAAGCGAGAUUGAGACGGGGUGGAGAAUGAGGCAGAAAAAGACCUCCAGUGUCACGCCCCUGUGAGAUUAGACUUGCCCCAUGAGAAGCCUCUCACAAGCACUUUAGCCAAACAAGAAGAAGUAGAACAGAUACCCCUUCAAGAAGCUCUGAAUCAGCUGGCAAGACAGUUGCAGAGAAAAGAUCCAAGUGCUUUCUUUCCAUUUCCUGUGACUGAUUUUACUGCUCCUGGCUACUCCAUGAUCAUUAAACACCCAAUGGAUUUUAAAUGAAAGAAAAGGGCCAGGCGCGAAAAGAUCAAGAACAAUGACUACCAGUCCACAGAAAAACUAAAGGAUAUCUUCAAACUAAUGUGUACUAAUGCCAUGAUUUACAAUAAACCAGAGACCAUUUAUUCUGAAGCUGCAAAGAAGCUGUUGCACUCAGGGAUGAAAAUUCUUAGACAUGAAAGAAUUCAGAGCCUGAAGCAGAGCAUAGACUUCAUGGCCGACUUGCAGAAAACUCAAAAGCAGAAAGAUAGAACAGACACCUCACAGAGUGGGGAGGACAGAGGCUGCUGGCCAAGAGAGAGAGGACUCUGGAGAUGCCAAAGCACACGCCUUCAAGAGUCCCAGCAAAGAAAAUAAAAAGAAAGACAAAGACAUGCUUGAAGAUAAGUUUAAAAGCAAUAAUUCAGAGAGAGAGCAUGAGCAGCAUGACUGCAUCGUGAAGGAAUCUGGAGGAAAGCUGACCAGGCAGCUUGUGAACAGUCAGUGCAAAUUGGAAAGAAGAAAACCAGACGGAACAACAAUGUUGGGACUUCUCCAUCCUGUGGAUCUCAUUGUAGGAGAGCCAGGCUACUGCCCUGUGAGACUGGGAAUGACAACUGGAAGACUUCAGUCUGGUGUGAAUACUUUGCAGGGAUUCAAAGAGGAUAAAAGAACAAAGUCACUCCAGUGUUAUAUUUGAAUUAUGGGCCCUACAGUUCUUAUGCACCACAUUAUGACUCCACAUAUGCGAAUAUCAACAAGAAUGAUUCUGAUUUAAUCUAUUCAACCUAUGGGGAAGACACAGAUCUUCCAAGCGAUUUCAGCAGCCAUGAGUUUUUGGCCACAUGCCAAGAUUAUCCAUAUGUGAUGGCAGAUAGUUUACUGGAUGUUUUAACAAAAGGAGAGCAUUUCAGGACCCUACAAGAGGUUUAGAUGUCAUUGCCUGAAGAUGGAAGGCCAUACUAGGACACUUGACACAGCAAAAGAAAUGGAGAUUACAGAAGUAGAGCCACCAGGGUGGUGUCUGGACUCCAAUACUUCAAGACAGGCCCAUAGCGCUGAAAGCAGUAACAAACUUUGGCGUUCCAGUUGAAGUUUUUGACUCUGAAGAAGCUGAAAUAUUCCAGAAGAAACUUGAUAAGACCACCAGAUUGCUCAGGGAGCUAGCUCCAGGAAGCCCAGAAUGAACGUUUCAACACCAGACCCCCUCCCAACAUGAUCUGUCUCUUGGGUCCCUCAUACAGAGAAAUGCAUCUCACUGAACAAGUGACCAAUAAUCUUAAAGAACUUGCACAGCAAGUAACUACAGGUGAUAUCGUAAGCACGUAUGGAGUUUGAAAAGCAAUGGGGAUUUCUAUCCCUUCCCCCGUCAUGGAAAACAACUUUGUGGAUUUGACAGAAGAUACUGAAGAACCUAAAAAGACGAAUGUUGCUGAAUAUGGACCUGGUGGAAGUUGAGGCCGCCUGUAUUUGAUUAUAUAUUAUGUACAUACUUUUUCAUUCUUAACUUAGAAACGCUUUUUAGAAUAUAUUAAAUAUUUGUAAAUUGUGUUUUUAAUUAAACUUUGCAACAGUGUAUUUGAAUGUUCCAGAGGUUGGACUUGUAUUAGGUAAUAAAGCUGGACCUGAGGAAAAAAAAAGAGGGUUUUUAAAAAAAAUUUCUAUUCUUUGUUCUGUAAUUAAGAUGUUUUUGUAAGUCUCAUGGUUACCACAAUGCAAAAACCUGUAAUAGAUUCACUAGAACUAAAAAGCAAUGAAUUAAAACAUACUACCAGAGAAAAUCUCUUAACCACAAAGGAAGACAGUAAGAAAAGAAAAAAGGAAGGAGUUCUAAAACAACAGAAAACAAGCAAUGAAAUGACAGUAGUAAGUUUACUUGGCAACAAUAACACUGAAUGCAAAUGGACUCAAUUCUCUAAUUACAAGGCAGAAUGAAUUCUGUCUAAACAGAUAAAGAAGCAAGAGUUAAACUAUAUGCUGCCUAUAA